UUCGAGCCGAUGAAUUGCCAAUGCUAUG
rnacentral:sRNA from 1 species